AACGGAAACUUCUAUUCCUGUUAUUUGACUGUUAGGUUUUCUGGGUUAAUCCUUUCUCUCAUGUCUUGCUUUUGCCCAUAAUUUUUAUUUCCUGAUCUCUAUUUGCUAUCUUUGUGGGAAGGAAACUGGGAUGAACUUUAUAUUCAUGGAAAGAUAAAGUUCCAUAGAAAUUUUUACUUUGCGUGCUCUAGCUUUAUUUAUUAAGAGCUCUUCUUUCCUCACUGAUUAAUAAAUUCUUGUUUUAUGGAUACAUUAUCUUCUCAUAUCUUUCCAAGGAUGUUAUGUUAAGGUUGUUUUAUGGAUGCAUUAUCUUCUCAUAUCUCUCCAAGGAUGACAUUUAGCACAAAUCCCUUCCUUUCCUUUCCCUUUCUCUUUCUCUUUCUCUCUCUUUCUUUCUUUCUUUUCUCCCUUUCUGGCUCUGUCUUUCUCUUUCUUCCUCCCUUUGUCUCUCCUUUUUAAAAAAUUAACCCAAACUUUGGCAUAUUGAGAAAUAAUGUGGGAAAAGAGGUAAGGCAGAUGAAAGACCAAGAAACCACUUUUAUUAAACAAUUGAAGAGUCAGGUAGAGGAUGCAGUUUAGUCUAAGAGUCCAGUGGGCCUGCAAACUCAACCCCAGAACUGGGAAACUUAGGCAGCCAAUCACGGGCAAUGCUGAACUGGGACAGGACUCCUCCCAUGGUACGACUGUUCUCACUGAGGGGUAGAAAAAAACAUGCUCUGUCUUGGAAAGACUCACUCCCAGGAGGAAAGGGUGGAGCUGAACUAAGUCUGACCGGUUCUUUCUCCCAGACUCACCUUUACUGCCCUGUGGGAGAGGCUAGUGGGAGGGUGGGCAAGGCCAGAGCGUGUCCUGCCUCCAUGUGGAGGGAGAUACGGGAAGCUGCCUGAUUGAACCCCAACCAGAGGCUGAGGCAGGAGAAUCACUUGAACCCAAGAGGCAGAGGUUGCAGUGAGCCGAGAUUGCACCAUUGCACUCCAGCCUGGGCAACAAGAGCAAAACUCCAUCUCAAAAAAAAAAAGAAAAGAAAAACUAGAACCUCAUUUAUUACUACUGAGAACUGUAGAACUGCAAAGUGGUUCUAAAGUUGUAGAACCACUUUAGAAAAAAUUGGGCGAUUUCUUGUAAAGUUAACACAUUCACUGUAUGAUUCAGAAAUUUCAUUACUAUGUUGUAUGUAAGAAAUGAAAACACAUGUCUACAAAAGAAUUAUAUAUAAAUGUUUAUUGUAGUUUUAUUUGUAAUAACAAAAAGCUGGAGACAAUUCAGAUAUUCAUCAAACAGUGAAUGGAUAAACAAAUCGUGAUAUAUUCAUUCAAUGGAACACUUCUUCAGCAAUAAAAAGCAAAAAGCUACUGAUACAUGCAACAUCAUGGCUAUGUCUCAAAAUCAUUACGAUGAUGAAAGAGGGUAGAGUAAAUAAUAUGUGAUUCUAUCUAUACAAAAUUGUACAGCAAACAAAACUAGUUUGCAAUGACAGAAAGCAGUUUAGUGGUUGUGGUUAAAGGUAGAGUUGGAGAACUUUUUUUGGAGUGAAAAUGUAUGUUCAAUAUAUUAAUUGUGGUCAUGGUUACACUAAUGUUUAUGUUUUUCAAAACUCACAAAACUGUAUUAUGUAUAAAUGCAUAUAAUAUAUUGUAUGUAAAUUUGAACCUAAAUUAAAUUGAUUUAAAAAGAAAAAAUCAAUAAAAAUAUUAAGAAAUACACUUCUAAAUAAACCGUGAGGCACAGAGUCAAUUAUAAUGGAAACAAAAAAAAUUUGAAUUGAAUGAUAUUAAAAAUAUUAGAUGUCAAAACUUCCUGUUAAACAAGUACUUAGUGGGAA
rnacentral:lncRNA from 10 species